rnacentral:rRNA from 1 species
UACGUAGAUCCCGAGCGUUGUCCGGAUUUAUUGGGCGUAAAGCGAGCGCAGGUGGUUUAUUAAGUCUGGUGUAAAAGGCAGUGGCUCAACCAUUGUAUGCAUUGGAAACUGGUAGACUUGAGUGCAGGAGAGGAGAGUGGAAUUCCAUGUGUAGCGGUGAAAUGCGUAGAUAUAUGGAGGAACACCGGUGGCGAAAGCGGCUCUCUGGCCUAUAACUGACACUGAGGCUCGAAAGCGUGGGGAGCAAACAGG